GCUCAAGCCUGUGAUUCAAGAAGAGCUCCCAUAAAAAAGGUGGUCCAAGGCUGAGGUUGCUGCAGUGAUGAAGCAUUUUAAUGACCACAUAAACAAAGGGAAACUGGCCACCAGAAAUGAAUGCAGUCAUUGGAAACUGGCAGAGGAACCAGUGUUGGCAGGAAGAACAGUUCAGAACAUAAAAGAUUUGAUAAACUCGAGAAGCAACCCCAGAUCGGAUCAAAAGUAAAAUUGUUUUUUGGACGGGUGGGUGGAUACAUCAUUUCCAUAACUGGCCACCGAAAGGGUGUGGCCAUCAACAUGAGUAUUGAGGAAUAGAAUAUUUAGAUGUACAAUGAGAUAGAGAGAAAAUGAAGUAUUGCACAGUGGUAUUUUAUAGAGGGAAAGCCCUUGGAAUGGGGGGGCUGUGUUAUCAGUGAAUCAGAGGGGGUUUAAACGGUAGAAAAAAACUAAGCAUGGUGCCCACAUCAUCCGUAAGUACGAAAACUAUAAGAGUUAUAGUUACCUAAGAGGCAUAUACAUUGUUUAGUCAGCUGAUCAGAGAGAAUGAACAUGUCUUUUGAUUUAUUAGGUUGAACAGCACAAGACUCAAAAGUACCAUGGGCAAGCAGCGGUCCCUCUAUAGGAACGAGCACGCCUGGUUGCAGCGUUACAGCUAUUAGAGAAAAUAUUGAAGGCAGUUCGGAGGCAUCUACUUUUUCCCCACAGUUCCAAUGGAGGUGUUCAUCAUAAGCUACCGGAAAUUUCAAGGCAGCCUGGGAGAAGAUGAAUAUGGGGACUGCACCCACAUUCAACAUGCUAUAUUUCUCCAGUAGCACUUAUCUUAAGGACCCUGCAGAGGACACCCUCCAGAGCUGAGCACUGACAACGAAUGCAUUUUCAACAUAUGCAGCAAAGAAAGUGAAAAGGAGAGAGGACAGAGAAUCUAUGCAGGACAAAGACAAUCAAGGAUCUGACCAGGAAGAGCAGGAGUCAUCAGGACCAGAGGAGCUUCUAGAAAGAUGGCUCUCCCAGUGUCUGAAUAACAAGAUGGGGAGCCUCCCUCAGGAUGAAGGUGCUGGUGGUGCCAGAACCACAUUACCCACACAGGAAGACAAUUCGGAAGAGGACAAAGGACAAGUACGGAUAAGGGUUCCUAAGACAGCCACGAAAAAAACCCUGGGCGUCCUGUGUGUCAUAUACUGGGUUAUGUUAGUGCCUGUGUUGAGCUGUGGGCAUUGCAGCUUUACGCCAUCUUUGCAGCUCCUAGCUGUUGCAUGCAUUGUUGUGCCGUUAUAACUGAUACCACAGGCGCCUGUAACUUUUACCAAAUGCUUUUACCUGCAGGUAGGGGGCUGAAGUCCAUUCCUGACAGUUUGAUUUGUAUUUAAACCAUAAAUACCAACAUGAAGCUGCAUUUAGGUUUUGUUUUUUUAUAAAAUGUACAGGACAAGCCAAUAUUGAUGAUUACCAGUCCAAUACCAAAUUCCAACCGUGACUGAAGUUAGUCAGUCACUCUCAAGACACACGUAAGAACAAUUCCUUACAAAUGUCAACAAAUGUGUAAAUCCCAUGUUAUUAAAUUAUCUUUUACAA